UGCUGGAGAACCUUCCUGAGAGUUGCAUCCACGGAAGGAACAAGAAAGCAAGGCCUGCUUGGGGCUGGAGGACCCGAGACAUAGCUAGAGGUAAACAAGAGCAAAGGACUGACAAGUGAACUGUAGGAGGAGAAUGAUGGGAAACAGAUCGAGGCACCCGUACAUCUGCAUGCCUUCAACAGGCCUGGGUUCCCACCAGCACUGGCUCAACCUCGGAUCCAGAGAACCCUUGAUGAUUUCCAGUCCCAGAAUCCUCUGGGCUAGGCUGCCCAGGUGGCUAUUGGGAGUGAGGUGGUGAUUUUAAACAGAGGCAGCCUAGGAUUUCUACAGGCUGUAAGAAGACAAAGAACACAAGUGACGAGACACCUAGAAAAAGAUGUUCAAGGCCUAUGUGAAGCCCACCCGGGGUUCUCUUUGAAACUGUUAUUUGUUCAAG